CACGUAGGUGGCAAGCGUUGUCCGGAUUUACUGGGCGUAAAGAGCGCGCAGGCGGUCGUUCAAGUCGCGUGUGAAAGCCCCCGGCUCAACUGGGGAGGGUCACGCGAUACUGAUCGACUCGAAGGCAGGAGAGGGUAGUGGAAUUCCCGGUGUAGUGGUGAAAUGCGUAGAUAUCGGGAGGAACACCAGUGGCGGAGGCGACUACCUGGCCUGUUCUUGACGCUGAGGCGCGAAAGCUAGGGGAGCAAACGGG
rnacentral:rRNA from 1 species